rnacentral:tRNA from 1 species
GGGCUCGUAGCUCAGUCAGGUAGAGCGUCGGACUUUUAAUCCGAUGGUCGCGGGUUCGAACCCCGUCAGGCCCG